CGACCGUCAAAGGGAGAGACACGCCUAAUCAGGCGCCGAAGGCGCAACCGUCCCGGAAACUUUCGGGCAAAUGAACCUUGGCGGACU
rnacentral:ncRNA from 2 species